GAACUAUAAAUUAAUUUGCUUUUCUAAAUAUGGUAAAUCUACCAGGCAUACUUGCACCUGACUCUUAUUGAAACAAGCUGCUUUUACUUGAUCCAAAUGAUGCCUGCUGUUGCUUUCUGACCUGGACAUCUAUAUUUACAUAUUUGUGACCUUCUCAUGGGAAAACCAGGUGAAAGCUCUUUCGGACUCCAGAUAUAAAGAAUGGUGAAAGUUCCGCUCUAGGGUACUAUAUUGCCAUUCGAAAGGAGCACUAUCAUUUGCAUUUAUGAUACUAAUCUUAUUAUAGGUUGCUGUGGUUUUGGUUUUUGUUUGUGUUUUUGUUUUGCCUGUAAAUGCAGCUAUACCUCAGUGGGAAUAACCAUUUGGGAUGUCAGUGGUCAUUAAUGUGUCUUCAGGUAAAGAAAUAAGCAGAUGAGUCACCUGUCCUCAGGCCUUUGGUCUUCCAUCCUCUUUAGAGCCUACUGACUAGGAUAACUCUGGCCCCCUUCACACACUGCGGUGGCAAUGGUAACUCAGCUGACUUACUGAGAAUGCUGCCCUGGCCUCUGACUACAGGCAUCAGAUCCUAGGGCGGCCCCUACCUCAACUUCUCAAGCUGUAUAUAGUUGGGGGCAGAGGGGGGGUCUUUUCUAUUCUUGUUUAGGUGAUGUCUAAUGUCUCCAGUGUUUUCAAACUGAAAGAUACAUUCUUACUACUUAUUCACUGAGAAUUUUCAGAUUAAGAAAAUCUUUAAAAAUACAAAGGCAGAGGAUGAGAGGGACUUAGAUGCCACAGUGUCCUGUCUUGCCCUCCCGCCGUGUAGCAGUGAGGUCAUUCUGGAAGCAGUGAGGUCAAUGUCUUACUCAUGUAGGUGGCUGGCAGGGGGGCUGGAAAAACUAGCUGACUCUCAUCUGACUCCUUUUUCAUGAUAUGCAUUUCUGCUUGUAUGGGCCACAUGAUACACAGGAAAUAAAAAGACACCCCUCCCCCAUAGUAAAGUAUUAAUCCUUUUUUUCUUGAAAAGAUAUUUUUAAUUAAAAACAAAAUAAAACAAAAAACAAAAC
rnacentral:lncRNA from 1 species